CGAGAGAAGUGGAGGCCCACCGUGAGCUCCUUGCCCUUGGGAGACUCCCGCCUCUCAGGAGGCUCAUAGCCCUGCGUAAGGACUUUGCUUCCCAAGCUUUCCUGCCGCUGCGUGUGGCCAAGUGACCACGUUCCAACAGGGAGAGGUAAACAGAAGUUUUGUGUGCAGCUUCCCCUCUCCUCCUGCUGGCUGGAACCCAGGUGUGAUGGCCAGAGCCGGGGUGGCCACCUCGGGCCGUGAAGAGAAGAUCAUAUGUUGGGAAUGGUGGAGCAACGAGGCAGGAGCCUGGGACCCUACUGGCCGUGGUGGUGCCAUAGGGCCAUGGGCACCUGUCUCCAGGAUUUGGCGUGGGAGGGAAAUAAAUGCCUGUUUUAUGCGUCACCAUUAUUCAGGAGUUUCAGCCUCUUGGAGCAGAAACUGUCCUCACAGCUAGUUAGAUGUUGGACACUGUCUACAUGUUUCACAAGGUAUGAACUCACAUGAUAUCCUUAAUGCAGUGAUAUCAGGGGAAAUUUCCAGAGCUAAAUGGAAAUGUUAGUUCUCUUGCCACAAACUAGGAAGACUGUGAGGGGGCCUUAAGAGGGACUCUGCUGUUCAAGUUCAGGAUUUUACCAACAGCCAGGGUGGGGAAUGUCACCCGGCAAGAGACAAGAAUCAGACCAGCCCAACACUGCUCCUGUGGGAGAAAGAUUUUCAGCCCAGAUUGCACAUCUGAUCAGACCACAAAGCGAGCAAGAAGAUGGCAGACCUGAGAACCAAGAAGCAGCCCCCACAGGGACUAGGCUUAAGCCCAGAGGGCAGAGGCCUCCUCACUGUGAGCCAGGGCCCGUGCCCACCUCCCCUCCACCAGGCACAGCCAGACCUGGAGACCCACUGUUGGGUCUGGAAGGUCGUCAGGUAGCGUCAGUGCCACCGUGAGUGGAGAGGGCAGAGGAUGUGGAAAUGGCUGCCACUUGGGGGGACUCAGGGACAUGAGAAAUGGCUUUUCUGGUGUGUGGGCUGUUGAAUUCUGGAUGGCCCCACCGGGAGAAACAUCAGCAGGAGCUCCCUGCAGUGCAGCACCCACGGUCGAGAUAAGGGUCACGAGUGAACAGAGCUGCGAGGGCGUCGCGGGAGAACUGAAGCAGUCUGUGCUUACUCCCUGAGGUCAUGGUGGAGCAGCAGCCGUAGUAAGUGAUGCAGAAAAUGUGGUCGUAUAAGGGAAAAGGUCAGUUUGAUUAAAUAAACGGUUUUGUAGCAAAAUAA